CAAAAGAAAGCCUCAGAGUGGGAAAGUCAACCUAAGAGAGAAACCGUUUAUUUUGUGGGUAAUGCUGAGUGCCCAUUUGAAGUGGAGACCUAAAAACCAGACUCUGAGCAGUAGCAUGAACCAAAUGUUAUCCUAGACCUGAAGUUUGGCCAUAUCCCAUUGUAAGCAUUGACAUCACCACCCACCUCUCAGAGACAGUUAACAGGCCUGAGGUAUGAUGAGAAAAGA
rnacentral:lncRNA from 1 species